AAUCAUUCACGACUUUUCACGCGUGGCGGCGCUGCGGUUCCAUAAGUGGUUACUUGAACGCUUCAAUCACGUAAAACGCUUGCAUCUGUAUUUACAACGUAAACAAUGGCAUCCGAUGAUGACAUCACCUGGUCUGUUCCAGAACUAACGUUACGUGGAGCUGUCACAAGAGACAGAAAUAUAGAUCUUAUAGAAAGAAUCAAUUAGAAGAGCCAAAAUUUAUAAGCUUAGAUUCAAAACAUUCUGGAGGAGCAGAUUGUGUGAAGAAGCCAGCAGAAGUCAAGAGAAAUAAAAAGAAUGGAACAAAAGAAAAAUUGAAAACGAACAGUGAAAUGACAAAAUUAAAUAAAAUUUUUGCAUUUCUUAUUGUUGUUGUUAUCUUGUGUAUUGUUGACCAAGACAGCUAAGAAAACCAUCGAAAAGCUGUUCAGACAGAAAAUGACAGAUACUACACAUGAUCAAACAAAAGAUAAAAAAAAACACUUCUAAGAAAAAAUUUGUUCAAUGCUGGACCAAAUGAAAUGCAUGAGGAUAUUUAUAAUCUGAAAAAAUUAAUACCUCUAUGUAAGUGAAACAAAUUAUGCGGUAUGGGCUUUGCUCAUUGUUGAAGGCUGUACGGUGACCUAUAGUUGUAAUUAUUUCUGUGUCAUUUGGUCUCUUGUGGAGAGUUGUCUCAUUGGCAAUCAUACCACAUCUUCUUUUUCAUAUGUGUUCAGUGCAAAAUACAAAAAAAUGGACUAUUCAAUAAAAUUGAUAUCUAAGACCGGGAAUAUUGGGGUUUGUCAAUGAGACAUCAACCCGACAAAAAUAGCCAAAAUAUAUGUAGAUUAAGCCGGCAUCAACAGCAUGCAGACAAAUGUAAAAGGAGAUGUGGGGUAAAGAUCAGUAUGACGGCAGUUGUUUUCUCAAAUGUGGAUCCAGGAUUUUGAAUCUAGAUAAAGUGAUCCCCCCCACUCCACUCUGAAGUAACUGUAUUAAAACAAAGUCAAUGUAGGACUUUCUUUGAGAUAUUAUUGUGUCUGGGAGACACAAUUGAUGCCCACGCAGAUGCAAAGUGUUAUUUUAAAAUAACUAUAACAUUUAACCGCUUAAUAUACCCCAAAAAUGACAAAGUUCAACUAUCUCACAAAAGAGCAAAUAUUAAUAAAAAUCAAAACCCUGACCACAUGCACAUCUUCAAUAUAUGUACAAACAGACAUCAAAGUGAAAACUUCCUAGGAUUCUAACUGUAGGUUGAGUUGUGCUGAAUAACUAUAUACCCAUAAUGGGACGG